UACGGGGGGGGCAAGCGUUGUUCGGAAUUACUGGGCGUAAAGGGCGCGUAGGCGGCCUUCUAAGUCAGACGUGAAAUCCCUCGGCUCAACCGAGGAACUGCGUCUGAUACUGGAUGGCUUGAGUUCGGGAGAGGGAUGCGGAAUUCCAGGUGUAGCGGUGAAAUGCGUAGAUAUCUGGAGGAACACCGGUGGCGAAGGCGGCAUCCUGGACCAACACUGACACUGAGGAGCGAAAGCCAGGGGAGCAAACGGG
rnacentral:rRNA from 1 species